UUUUCUUUUUAUUCUCAAUUCUUCUUUCUCCUCCUUCUCCUCUGUUCUUCUUCUUCUACGAGUGUUUGAGAGCAAACUAGAGAUUUGGAUUGAGAUAAUCAAUCCAUGAUGAAGAUUAUAUGCAGUAUACGUUGCAGCUGACGUUGAUAAGAUUGAGGUUUGUACAGAUCUUGAAUUAGGGUUUUGAGAUGAAUUUUGGAGCCGUAUGAAAUUGAUAGGUUAAAUCGAAGUAUAAAUGGAUGUAGGAUGAAGGGUUAUUGCUGAAUGGAAGUUGUAGUAUUGCUUUGAAGAAGAAUUGAGAUGUUAAUGAAACCGUGAAGAAGUUAGGAUUUCUGUAAUUCAGUGAAGUAAUGAUUGGAGGUGAUUAAUAAGAAAUUAGAGGAUGGUAUUGAAGAACGCGAUGUAAAGAAGAUGGUUAUGGUUUUAGUUUGGGUAUUUGGUUACAAGGAAGAAGAUUAAGAAAUCAGUGAAUUAGGGUUCUUGAUAGAGCAGAGAUUUAGGAUUCAUGGGUUUGAUUAUGGACGAAGGAGAUGGAAUUGAUGGAGAGGAAUUAAAAGAGGAAGAUCCCUGAUGCAGAUUGAGGUAGAGAAGAAUUUGACCCUAAAUUGAUGGGGAGAGAAACCAUUUCAAGGUAAUUGUUCUUUUAGUUCAGUUGGUAAUACUUGUUUGUUUUCAAUUUGAGUUCAUGGGUUAUGGGAUGUUAAUGAAGAUGUUAAAUUUGAGAUUGUUGAUACAGAGAGUUGUAUUGAUUUGUUGGAAUCAGAAGAAAGAAGGGGUUGGUUUCAAAUUGGUUGAGACAAUUUGUUUUGAGGUAAUUAUUCUUCUUGGUUAACUUAGUAAUGUUUUUAUACUUUCAUUACUGAGUUAUGAGUUUGUUAAUUGAUCUAAGUUUGAACUGGAGGAGGAAUUAUUACACUGAACUAAUGAUUAAGACAGUGAAGAUCUAGAGAUGGUGGAUAUGAAAUUGAAUUACAGUUGUAUCUUGUUGAACUGGUGGUGCUGAAAUGGUUAAGAUGGCAUGUUGAAUCAAGUCAAGCAAUAAGGGGAAUUGAUCUCAAUUUGCUGGAAUGAAUCUAUAUUGAGGUAAAUAAUGUUCUUAUCAGUAGAAUUGGUUCAUGUUCAUUAUUGAGAUUAUGUGAAUGCUUAUGAAGUUAAGUUACAGAGUUAUUGGGUUCGGUUUGCUGUUUUUCCUAAUUGUUGAUGAAUCUAAUACCUGAGAUGGAUAUGGAUUGGAGAUGCUGAAACUAAUAUAACUGGUGGAGGUAUUUACAGGAUGUAAUGAAUUUGAAUGAUUACAGGGUUGGUAAGAAUUUAUAAAAGAUGGAAUUGAGUUUAGUUGGUAUGGUUGAAAUGGAACUGCUGUUGUAGAAUAAGUUUGUAUAUGUGAUUGAUGUGAAGUUCUUAUUGAAUUGAAUGUAUGUGUUGGAAAUCGGAAGGCUAUGCAUUACAGUUAAUGAGAUGGCUGCAGUUUGUAGAAUUUGAUUGUACAUAUGGAUUUUGAGUUACAAAUAUUGUAAUGCUGAGUUAGUGGUAUGCAGUGACAGUGUGGUUGCAGGGAGUUGUGGUAGUGUCGCAGAUUGUGUAGGCAGGAUUGAAAUGAGUUAGAAUGGAUGAGAUUCAGUGAAGAUAUGAAUGAACUGAGGUUAGUUUGUAUGGAACAAAUGGUGGUGCCGAUGUUGCUUAACUGAUUGUAUUGGGUUGAGCUACUAGUUGAGCUUAAUCAAAUAAGUAUAUUGAGAUGGUAGUGUGUUUGUGUUUAUGAUAUGGGUUUGAAUUGAUCUGAGGUGGUAAUUUGGUAUUGAUGUAUGUGACAGGGAAGAGUUAAGUUGAAUGAUGAAGUGUGUAAGUUGAGGAAAUGAAAGAUAUGUGGAGUUCAGGUCUAAGGGGUGGUGGUCCAGUUAUUAGUUGUGUUGAGAUGCAACUGUAGUUAUCAUAUGAAGUGUAGAUUAGAAGAUGAAUCUGAAAUAGCUUGUGCUGAAUUGAAUCUUUCCAGUGGGAGCUUGUAACUGCAAUUGCAGGAUGAACCAGUGGAUUGUGGAUCUCGAGGUAGGCGUGGCUUGUCUUCAAAAGAGUUUCAGAGACAGAUCAGAGUUGCGCAGCGAAUGCUUCAGGGGUUGAGUUCGCUAGUUCAUUAACUUCGAUUAUGUUUAUUGUGUUGUAUAUUUUAUUUGUAAACCAGAUGAAUAUUGUUAUGUACCAUUUGCGAGGAGUUCUUGUGUAUAUAUUUCUGAGCGGGUCUAGUUUUGGGUUAAGUUUUGUAGCAGAUUUCUUAAUUGAAUGUUUAAAUAAAUGAUUUAGA